GUAGGGAAUCUUCCGCAAUGGAAGAAAGUCUGACGGAGCAACGCCGCGUGAGUGAUGAAGGUUUUCGGAUCGUAAAACUCUGUUGUUAGGGAAGAACAAGUACCAGAGUAACUGCUGGUACCUUGACGGUACCUAACCAGAAAGCCACGGCUAACUACGUGCCAGCAGCCGCGGUAAUACGUAGGUGGCAAGCGUUGUCCGGAAUUAUUGGGCGUAAAGCGCGCGCAGGCGGUCCUUUAAGUCUGAUGUGAAAGCCCACGGCUCAACCGUGGAGGGUCAUUGGAAACUGGGGGACUUGAGUACAGAAGAGAAGAGUGGAAUUCCACGUGUAGCGGUGAAAUGCGUAGAGAUGUGGAGGAACACCAGUGGCGAAGGCGACUCUUUGGUCUGUAACUGACGCUGAGGCGCGAAAGCGUGGGGAGCAAACAGGAUUAGAUACCCUGGUAGUCCACGCUGUAAACGAUGAGUGCUAAGUGUUAGAGGGUUUCCGCCCUUUAGUGCUGCAGCUAACGCAUUAAGCACUCCGCCUGGGGAGUACGGCCGCAAGACUGAAACUCAAAGGAAUUGACG
rnacentral:rRNA from 1 species